UAUAUAUAUAUAUAUGGAUGCUACUAGCUAUAUAUAUAUAGCUAGGUAUAUAUCCAUAUCCAGUGAGUAGACUGGGAAGUAAUUCAGUAUCAUUUGGCUAUCCAAAGCACCAUCGCAGGGGAUAGUCAAACUUCAAAACGUCACACCACCGAUACACUAUGGGUUUUAAAUGGACCGAAAUUAUGUAGUUUUGGUAUGAUGGGUUUAACCGCGGAUUAAUGUCAACCCAAAAUUUUACGAGACACUUUUUCGCGUAUGGAUCGUCUGCUGGAAAAUUGAGACUGAGGUGAUGAGUGGGGCAGCCAGUUUCGUUUGGGACCCGAGGUCAACCGAAUUUGGCCGACGAGGCUGACCGCCCUCCGUCUCCGGAUUUACAUCCUAACCAAAUGAUUUAAAUCAUAAAUGUUUUUUUGCCUGAUAAAUUACCCUCAAUUUCCUCUCUGCAUGGAGAUUUCUAUUUUUUUUUUACUUCUAUUCACGCCCGUGUUUUGUUUCGCAUCCGUCGAUUUCUGCGAUUUCUCGUGCCUUUUAAAAAACUGAAAACAAUACAGGGAGAUGAUUUUAACGGCACGAAAAAGUCGCUCGAUCGAUUUCAGUUGUCGAUUGACAUUGAUGAGGACACGACGAAUUAUUACGAGCUCUUUACUUUAUCAUUAUCGUUUUGUUGCAGUGGUUGAACAAUUAAUAUGUAUCAGUAAAGGUUUGACAAUGCCGUCAUGUAAUAGGUGUGUGUACAGUGGGUGUAAUAAUUCUUCAAGUGACAAGGAUGUGAUGUUCCAUCGGGUGCGAUAAGUAAUGAAAACCAUUUCAAUCACCAUUCUUCAAGAAAAAUCGUGCAUGGAGUCAUAAUUUGUUGGAAUCAGUCGGGAGGGUUUCGCGGUGAAUUUCGUGGUGGGUUUCGAGGUGACUUUUGUGGAGGGUUUCGCGAUGAAUUUCGCGGUAAAUUUCGCGAUGGGUUUGGCGGUGAAUUUUGUGGUGGGUUUUGCGGAGAGUUUCGUACUGGAUUUCGUGAAAGGUUUUGCGGAAGAUUUAAAAAAAAAAACUAAUGGAAAAACUAUAAAUUAUUUUUUUAAAGUUGCGAAGACAUUUUUCAUUUGGCUUUUGACAGAAAAUAUGGAUUUUAAGCCCCACAUUCUUAUAUAAUAUUAUGGAUGUCGGUGUAAUUAUUUUCUCAUUUCGGAAGGGUGGAUCGACCGGAUGGGGAAUGAGCAACUUCGCGGUUUAUCUCUGACCCAAUUACGUGACCGUCGCAUUUGUUCGGAUUAUUUCCAGGACUCGGACUACAUCACUGUAGGGGUGGCUGGUAAGAGACGAUUAAAAAACGGCGCAACACCUAUUGCGUUAAUUAACAGACUAAAAAUCACAAUCCGAGCUCUAUCCAACGUUCCUCUCAAUGAGCGUAAUCAGGAUGACCUCGUGACGAGGCUACAUAACCUCUAAGGCAGUGCCUCGCAAACUGUGUGCCGCGGCACACUGGUGUGCCGCGGGAGACUGUCAACCGUGCCGCAAAAGAUUUUCUAAGUUGCACUAGAUAUUCUGAGAUUAAUCUAAAAACCGAUUUCUGAUAACUAGAAAAUUACCCAAAAAGUAGUCAAUUAAUUUUAACUAAAUUAGCCACAACGCAGGUACUCGUAUUUGCCCUCCCAAACUUUGUCGAAACAACAAGAUGCACAAGCGAGGGUGAAUUGCUUAGAGAGGCACUGGCGUGGAUUUUCCCCCACUCAACGUACCACUUGACAACGCUUCAUUUUGCUCCGUGGCGUGACUUUUCAAUUCCCCUCAAAAUUUCUCAUUGUGUUUUUCGUUUUACGAAUAUUGUUGCGUUUGCUAAAUUGUGUUCUGAUUUUUUAUUUUUACCACGUGUUUGUGUUUGAUUUUCUUUAUUAUCAAGACCCAAUAUGGACAAAUACGUUAUCAAAACAAAGAGUUCUGAAAGUCCGGACUCUGACAAAACUACAAAAAACGCAAAGGUCACAUCUUCAACAGUUUCAGCAAAGCGGAAAUACAAUGAUGAAUACAUAGAGUUUGCUUUCAUUCCGUCCAAAGAAGAUAAUUCUUUGCCCGUUUGCAUGUUGUGUUCUACAACUCUUUCCAAUGAAGCGAUGGUUCCGAGUAAACUUAGACGACAUUUUGAAAAAAAACAUCCAUUGUACAUAAACAAGGAGAAAUCUUAUUUCGAGAACCUUCGUUCACAAUUAUACAACCAAGCCAAACGAUUCAAAAAUUUAUGUACGGUACCAGAAAAAGCUCAAAUCGCAAGCUAUGAAAUUGCCCAACUAUUAGCAAAAAAGAAAAAGCCUCAUGCUGAUGCUGAAAAUAUCAUUUUGCCUUCGUUGGAGAUAGCUGUUAAAGCCAUGAUUGGAACACAAGCUGUUGAACGUGUAAAAGUAAUACCGUUAUCAGGUGAUACAAUUGCGCGUAGAAUUCAAAGUAUGUCCGAUGAUAUUGAACUACAACUCAAAGAGCAUUUUGCGAAUAAUCAAGACAAAAUGUCGAAUUUAUGGGCUCUUCAAGUCGACGAAUCUACCGAUAUUAGUAAUAAAGCUCAACUAUUAGCAUUCCUCCGUAUUAUUAAAGACGGAUCGAUUCAAAAUCAGUUUUUCUUUUGUUCGGAGCUGAAGCAAACUACCACAGGACAGGACGUUUUCGAACUGGUAAAUACAAAUAUUGAAUCAAGAGGAAUUAAAUGGGAAAACUGUAUCAGUGUCUGUACCGAUGGCGCACCUUCAAUGCAAGGCCGCAAAAAAGGAUUCGUCGCUCAUGUGUUGAAAAUUAAUCCGAAUGUGAAAAUUGUGCAUUGUAUGAUUCAUCGAGAGGUUUGGUAACCAAAUCCCUUCCAGAAAAACUUUGCCAAACAUUGAAGGAAGUCAUUAAGAUCGUCAACUAUAUUAAGUCAAACGCACUCCGAACAAGAAUUUUUGCAUCAUUAUGUGAAGCAAUGGAUUCCGAUCAUAAAGGUUUGUUGUAUCAUACUGAAGUGAGGUGGCUCUCGAAAGGAAAAGUUCUCGAACGAGUGAUACUUUUGCGAGCAGAAAUUGUUUCAUUUUUCGAGACAGACAAUACUGAUAAAGUCGAUUUUCUGCAUGACGAUAUUGGUGGCUUGAAGUUUCGUUCCUGAAUGACAUUUUUGAAAAAUUGAAUAAACUGAAUAUGAGCAUCCAAGGAGCCAAGGAAAACAUCAUUAGCAUUACCGGAAAACUCAAGGCUUUUGAAGAAAAACUGAAACUGUGGUUGCAAAAAUCUAAAAAUUUGCAAUUUGACUUUCUUCCAACUGUCAAUACAUCAACAAUUAAACAUAAAAUAUCAAAAGAAAUUCAAACUACAUUUGAAAAUCUGUCCUCUUCAUUCGUCAAAUAUUUUCCAUCUCUGAAUUCGAAAAAAGACGAAUGGGUGGUCAACCCCUUUGUAGGUUGCACGGACAGCUCAUUCUCAAUAAAAGAAGAAGAGGAUUUUAUCGACCUGAAAAAUGAUUUGGUGCACAAAGCUUCUUUCGCAGAACUCGAGUUAUCAACGUUUUGGAUCUCUCUUCAAAAUCAAUAUCCAGAAUUGAGCAUGAAAGCUCUUCGAAGUUUGUUACCAUUUGGCUCCUCUUAUCUCUGCGAAAUUGCAUUUUCUUCAUUGACUGAAAUUAAAUCUAAAAAACGUGAGCGACUUCAGAUGAUUGAUGGAGAGAUGCGAGUGUGUUUGACUAACUUCGAACCACGAAUAAUGCAAAUUUGUUCCCAGAAACAAGCCCAUCCAUCACAUUAAGCUUAAAAUAAAAAUAUUUUCCUUUCUAUUGUACCAAAUAUUAAUUAAUGUACCUAUUUGUAAAACAAAUUUUUUAAAUUAUUUUUAAAUAUACGUUUUCUUCCGAAAAUUUAUUUAGCUUAGUGUGCCGCGGAAAAAAAAUCCUCAGUUAGCGUGCCGCAGACUAAAAAAGUUUGCGAGACACUGCUCUAAGGUGAUUCUCAACCCCCCCCCCUUCGCCUCCUAUAUUACCAUUACUUUUAUCUACCUCGCACUCACCGUUGGAGAACCCCCUUCUGUACAAGUCCUUCCCCUCCCCCUACUCGCCGCGCUCGGACAGCGCGACAACCAUCGGAAGAAUCACCACUGGAGGAUAAGAUGACGUAGUGAUCCCCCUCCUUCUCGCAGUCCCCUACUCCCGCCGCUUCGUCUUCAUCGAAGGAGUGGAUACGUAGGUCGUCCCCCCCGCCGCAGUCCGCUUCUCACCGCUCGGAUGCGGACAAUGGCCGCACACGCAUGGUGCGUAGUGUUUAUCCCUCUCCCCCUCGGCCACCGAAGAUACCCAUAACCAUCAAUCGGCGGAUCACAGGGAUGCGGGCGUUACGUCACCGGAAAGGGACGAAUCUAGGCCGAGGACUCCCGAAUACUUCGAGGAGAUCCUCAAGUGGCCUGUCGAUCGCCACUCGUCGCUAAGCUGUCACCAUAAUCAGUGCGUCAUUUAAUAAUUAAUAUUCCAAUCGAUCGGAAGAUAGUGUAUAACAAAGUGGCCCAGGAUCUCCAGAGUUCCAAGAGAGUCUCUUCUGGACCCGAGUCGACCUUGUUGGACCCCAGGAAAAGGGUGGACAUCCCUAAAAACCCAGAGAGGAGAGGAAAACCCCAGAAUCUUGGAAAAGUGUCACCAGUCGGGCUGAACGAUGUCAACGAGGUCGAAACUGUUGUUGGAGUUAGAAAGACGGAAGAGGCAAAACAAGGCAAACAGGAAGACAGUUAGAGGAAGAAAUAAGCGGGGGCAGUCGAGGAAGGCAGAAUGCUGAGAAGAUGGAGUCAAACAGGGUUGCUGCAAUGAGGGCUGAGCUGCAAUUGUUGAGGGAGCAAUUGAAAGGACAACAGUCAGGACAGCCAGAUGAAGAAAAGGAGCCAGAUGGCGAAAGCGACGAAGAGGGGAGGAACAGCAGCAGGGAGAGCGAGGAGGUCAAAAAAAAAGGGGAGGAAAGCGUCAAGCCGAACGGGACGCAAUCUACUGGAAGACGGAAUUCAAAAAACUCCAACGGACCAUGGAGGAAUCCAUCACUGCAGGAAACCUAAGAGGGGGAGGAGCAAUUCAUCGAGGAGGGAGACAUGUCUCAAUGAGGCACCUCAUAGGCAGAGGACAAGUACCAAGUGGCAGUGGAGGAAGAGGGCAAUUCCACUCACAAGGAUGGGCAUCUGGUUUAUGUAAGGGAACUGAUUGAGGGGGACUGGCGGUGGCGAGAGGUGAGGGGUGAGGAAAUUAAGCCGGAUGAAGACACAAUGAGUCACACGCGUAUCGACUAAAUGAGUCCUUUUGUUUAUAAAAAUAUCGUCUGAUAUCGAUUACAAUUAAUAAUGAGCGGUCACUGAGUUUAAACUACAAAACUUAUAAGAGAAUUCGCGAUUUGAGGAAAUCGAGAUCUGAACACACGUUUGGGGUUCGAUGAAAAAUAAUGAGAACACGAUGUGGCACUUGUUGUCGAAACGGAGUCCAAACGGUGAGAGAGUGAUUUGAGGAGAGGUCACGGUCAAGAAGGAUCUGGAUCGUUGACACGUGACCCUUCUGAGUGGUCAAAGGGCGUGUUUGUGGGGUCGAUCUCUCCGGAACGUGGCGUCUCAAUUAGGCAAAAAUGCUAAUUGACCCCCUGGCAACAGCAGGUUGUUUUGGCCAGGGGUCGAGCGGUCGAAGGUUUGGCGAGCGCGGGGAAAAGGAAGACUUGGGAUUAGCCGGAUUUACAACACUAUUAAAGAAUAUAUUAAAUAAGGAUUAAGAAACAUCUAAUGUAAGAAAAAAAGACUGGUCAUUUAAUAAAUAACGAACAUGAUUAAAACGAGAGGACUAUCAAUUUUUUCAACAUAACGAUAGAAAAAGACUACAUAAAACCUGAAAAAAAAGAAGAAAUUACAUAAACCUGAAAAAUCUCAUAAACCUGAAAAGAAUAAAAAUAAUAACCCUGAAAAAAAAAGAAAUUACAUGAACCUGAAAAAAUAUCGUAAACCUGAAAAGAUUAAAAAUAAUAAACCUGAAAAAAAACCG